rnacentral:lncRNA from 1 species
AUCAAACUAGUAAAGCUCAGACCAAAUUUCUUCAUGUAAUACUCUUGACUGUGAAAGGAUAUGUCUCUAUUUGAACUUUUGAUAAUCCCUCUCCUUAAGAAGUGUUUAAAAGUGAUGGGAAACUCUGCGUGCAUAGUCUAGUAGAACUGUUGAAAUGGAAUGGUGUAUUGGCUGUUGGUGCCUAGCCAAAGUGCUUACAGAUUUGGUUAGGCUCUUCAUGACUAUACAUGCAAUUAUUUUGUACUAUUUAAACUUUAAAAUAAUGGGAAUGCUAAUUUUCUUGGAAGAAUAGGAGGCCUUGAAAGGUUUUUGGUGUAUUUUAUUGAAGCAAAACUGAAGACUAAUUUAUGUAUAUAUCAAUGUCAAUAUUGGCUAAAUUAUGCCUAGAAGGAGACAAGAUUUGCAUCUACUCCCUGCCAAAAUUUGUGACUAAUGGCAAAAAACGCCUUGAUUUUUUGGUGUAAUUCAAAUGAAAAGAUUGUUCUAGCGGCUAAAAGACUGAUUAUGUUUUAGGGGAUACUCUUUUUUUUUGAUAAGCAAAUGAUAUAUAAGAGCGGCCAAUAGCCUCAAGGCAUACAGGAAGUGUACAAAGCUACCAACCCUCAAAACGUUUUAGGGGAUACUCUUUUUGCAUUGAUGUUGGGUUUUUAGACUUUUGAACCAAGAUAAAAUGAUGAUGUUCUUAUCAAAAGAAUAAGUGCAAAAUGAUUGCAUUCAGUAUCUAGCCUUUGAGUCAGAUCAUCGAGGAUUUCCAUAUAGAAGUUGUGAAUUUUGUGAAAAAGUGUUAUAUAUAUGUGUGUGUGUGUGUAUGUGUGUGUGUUUAUAUAGCGGGUUCCCUGGUAUAUGAUUUAACUCUCAAGUAUCAAUUCCUGUAUGAGGAGUGACCUCUAGCCCUUGUACUUCAGAUAUCGUAUGUUGAAAGCCUUUUAGACUCUGGUGUGAUUAUUGGUGUAGAGUUAUCUAGUUGUUGAACUAGCCUUAUACCUAACUCUUAGGACAACUAACAAAUUGAAGAAUCCAAUUUUUGUUCUUUUAUAUCCAAGGGGAGAAAAAUAAAGUUCAUAAAUAAAAUCCCACAUAAGACAUGGAUGCUUAAUUGGAUACAUCACUCAAGGAUGCAUGGAUAGUUUUAUAGUGGGCCAAAAAUGUUUCUAUAUCUUUUAUAAAACUUGUGUUUAUCUUUCUUUUUUGGAUAUCUAUCGUGCAUAUCAAAUAGUAUGCAUGGCAAAACACAUCCCAAACAAAUACCCUGAUUGUGCCCAUAACUAUGUCUACUUAUGACCACAACUUUGAUCAGGUUCCAGGUUCUCUCUCUCUCUCUCUCUCUCUCUCUCUCUUUGGUUUGGAUAUGCUUAAUUUGCACCCAAAAGUAACUAAAUUGUAUUUCAAUUAAUCAAAUGUACUUAAAAGAUGGGGUUUACGAAAUAAUUCACGUACAAGUUCAGUAGGGUCAUGAGGAUCCUUGCUUUGAUUAUCAAAUGGUGAGUAGUUCCUGGUGGACACCCAUUCCAUGCCUUUGCAGGGGAGGGGGGAGGAUAUGUUGGUUUAGAGGGGAGUGAAGGGUGGAAGGCUAUCAAUCAGAUCAUUCUAUGAUUCAUUGUCAUCGGGGAGUCUUUUUCAGUUUCUUGCUAAGGAGGUUUGGGCUUGAGAACUCCAUUGAGGUUUUGAUUUGCUUUUCUUUCUUUCUUAUUUUUUAAAACUAUUUGGAAGAUCAUACUUAUCGUCCAACUCAUAUGGUUGGGUUGACAUUUGGUAAGUAGGCAUAGUUUAUACUAGGUAAGCAGGAGUCUACAAACCAUAUCCUGAUUUUAACGAAAGAAACAGAUAGACAAGAGUCACAGGAAAAACUGAAGGAGAGGUAUGACUAGAGCAAUCAGCAAUGUUGGUAAGAGGAUCAGGGCUUCUGAAAAAGUUACAAAAUUAAACAAUGAGAUAAGGACUGUUGGAGAGGGAGUAAUUAGUAGAGUAUUUUUGGUAACUUCCCACAAAAGUCCAAAUUAUUAGUGCCAUCAAGAUGGUUCUUAUUCUUACAAUUCUGAUGAAGAGUUCUGCACAUCUUCCUUGUCUUCUCUAUUCUGUUUGAGAAUGUUUAGCAAAACAAACACAUAAUUUAUACAUUAAUGAUUAUACAUACGUAUGCAAACACAUGCAUACAUGUAUAGGCAUGCAUGUACAGACAGAAAUAUAUAAUUUGAAUCUCAAAACUUGGAUAUUUUUUUUCUGUUUAUAUAACUAAUAACAGUAAAGUCAAUUCCAUGCGCGUAUAUGCAUACAUUAAAACUUACAACUAAAUUACUUUCUGUUUUAUAUAACUAAUAAGAUUAAAUUAUAGUUUUAGUUAAAAAAUAUUUUAAAUAAAAGAUUAUGGACUUCUGCUGAAUUGACGUUAUGUAGAUAAUCUACAUAGAUGAAAAAGAAUCAAACAUUGAGAAAUAAAUAGGAAAAAAACUCAGAUGACUGCAAAGCAAAUCAAGAACAAUAUUUAAUUGUUUGCAUAUUGAGGC